UACUUUUAGGUAAUAUAUAUAUAUAUAUAUAUAACCUUAAAACUCAUAAAUUGUGAUAUAUAAUUGCUUUGCUUUUUUUGUGCUUUGAAAGACUUAUUUUUAUAUUGGUGUAAACUGCUAGUAAAAUUAAUAUUUUUUCCCAACAGUGUGGAAUUGACCUUAUAACAGUAGCUCAGUCAUAUGUAUAUUUUGAAAAGUUGAUUUUAAAGAUGUUGGUGAACAAACAUAACAGGAAACUGUGUGCUGGAGCUUGCUUGCUUCUCUCGGCCAAACUGAAUGACGUCAAGGGUGUGGAACUGAAGACUCUUUUUGAGAAAAUUGAAUGUGGAUUUCGAGUUAGUCGUAAGGAUCUUCUAAACUCGGAAUUUGGAGUUUUGGUUGCAAUGGAGUUUUCAUUACACUUACCAACAUGGGAAAUUUUUCCUCAUUAUCAACGCCUUCUGUACGAAUCCUGACAUUGGCUUUCCAGCAGCUUCUUGCUGUGUGUCGACAGAAGAUCUAGACAUUCAGCCAGCAUUGGCACAACUUUACCUCGAAUAGCUGAACAAACACCAAGUGGAAAAGCUGAAAGCAAAUUGUAGCAUUCACUUAAGGUUUUUUAGCCUAUACUCUGAGUAUGUUGUAUUUUUUUCAAAUAAUAAUUUUCACUGAGGAUGAACAUGAGCAAUUUAAACUUAGAAAAGAGUAAAACGUUUUCCGGAUAGCAUAUCUUAUGUAAUAAGCAGGCUUUCAAAAGACAAGGACAUUUUAAGUGUCUCACCUCAGAUGAAUUCAGCUAAAACCAGAUUUGAGAGCUAACAAACUCCACAGGACUAUAAGUAUUUUACGUGAUAAGGAUUCUUCGAGGAGGUUGCUAAUUAGACAAAAUGAGACAGUCUUGUGAAAACUUCUGAAUUACAUGAUGUGUGUAUAUAUGAUGUGAAGAAAAAUCUGAAGUGCUGUUUGGAUUCAUGUUGAGAAAAUAGGAAAAAAAACAACAAAUCUAAUAAACAAAUUAGUCAUGGUAAAAACUAAAAAGACUGGGAAUUCUUCAAAAUACAGAUAUCCAAAGAGGAUAUUUUUAAGCGCAACUUCUUAAAUAGUAAUUUUUGUACAAUGAUGUUAGAUGUAAGUUGCAUAGAAAGCACUGAUCUCAUAUUUGUGUAUUAAUAAAAUGUGUUGUGCCAUUUUGAUUAACCAUGAAAAUACAAACAAGUGAAAAUCCUGUAAAAAAAAAAGUGUUAAUUUUGCUAUUGAAUUUAUAUGAAUAGUUGAAUGUAAGAAAUAUAAAGGAGUGUAAGAAACAAUUUAAAGUUGAGCGUAGCCUUCAUGAAUAAUACUGUUAUGAAAAGUAAUAUGGAGUAAAUUAUGAAAAACAAAACGUUUGAUACUCAUCAGUGUUUUCAUAACUUGGUUUUUGCAAAAGAAACAAACAAAAUCUGAUUUCAACUUCAUUUUCUAUUUGCAGACAGUGAGUCUUGUCUUCAAUAAAAAAACUUUGUGAUUCUGUAUGAAGUAUUGAAAGUGAUUUUGUGAUAAGUAUAACAUGUUUGCAAUUUUAGUAAAAACAUGAAAUGCUUAUUAAGAAGUAUCCAUUAAUUUGAAAUUCCUAUAUUGUUUUGACUUUCCAGGUAUUUAAUAAGUAAUGUAAUAUUUUUUAAAUUACAAUUUUCGUUCUUCCAAACAGAAAACUUGCACGAUUCACACUCAUAAGUUAAGUUAAACCUUUAAUAGUGCACAUGUACAAAGUUGUUAAUGUUUUAAAAAGGCACUGAACAAGAAUAAUCUCAAAUCUAAAAGAAUAAUUGAUCCAUAGUUUGUAUGAAGUCAGAAUAUGCCCAAAAUAUAGACUUGGACUGUUUCUCUGAAGUUUUUGGCUUACAAAACAUCAAUUUCUCUUGUUUCAGGUAAUUUCUGUGUAAAAAGAAGCAAGUAGCACAGGAACAAUCUUGAUACUUGUGUUAUUAGGAAGUAGUUAGGUGCCUAGUUUGUACUUCAUCAGGUACAUUGUAAGAUCUAACUUUUGUAAAGGUUUUAACAGCUUGAUUUAAGUAACUUGUGUCUAGACAUGAUAAUAUUGUUAGUGAGUGCAAAGCUGCUAGGUGAAGAAUUAGUUUCCAAACUUCAGAGUAGGUCCACAUGUUAUAUUCUUAAUACUGGCCUCAGUAGAGUCCAGCAGUGACCGUAAAGAACUUUCUGACUCUAAUAAAAGUACAAUUAAUAAGAAAUUAACUGAAAUUGCAUAUAUAUUUGAAUCAUGAUUUAAAUUAAAUGUAGAACAAACAUAUAAGAUAAUAAAAUUUUGAGAAAUACAUGUCUAUAACAAUUAGGAAUUUUCUUGUUUGAAUUUUUCAUUAGCACCAGCUGAAGAUGGUAGUGUUAUAUAUCCAUUUAUGAAGGUGUCUUUGUAAAUGUGUGUAUUUUUGUUAAUUCGUGGUGAAUUAAAAUUUAAAAAAUAUUUAAAAUCUAUUUUAGUAUAACUUUCUCCUGUAGGUCUGUUUAUGAAGAAUACCAACUCUUUUCAACUAUUGUAAAUAGAUCAAACAUUUCUUGCAUCAGAAAGUGAAGAAUAAAACUUCAGAAAUCUUGAAGACAGUAAUGCUCUAUUAAUAAUAUUACGUAAAAAACAACAACAAGUACAUGCAUAUAUAAUGUCCCCAUCUACAAUUGCUCUGUUGCUGUUCUAUGUUUUUGACUUUUCAAAGUAUCCCUAAGUGCUAUCUUGAGUUACACAAUAACAUUCAUUGUGUAUUAUGACUGUUGUAGUUUAAUUGCUUCUGUAACAGCACGUUAUUAGUUCUCAUUCAUUAACCUUGUAGAACUGCAAUGUACUAAUAAUAUUUCUUAAAAUGAAUACUUUUACACCAAGUCUUGAAUACUUCUUUAGAAAUUUGUUUGAAGUUAUGAUAUUGGUUUUGUAGUUUGAAUUGUUGCAAAGUAAACAUUAAAAAUGUUUGGGCUGUAGCAGUUCCUGAUCAGAAUGCAAGAGGACUAGUUUGUUUCAAGUCUUUAUUUUUCUGACUCAUUGUUGGUUCUGUUUCAUUUCACUUGUUUUUGUACUGCUGUUACAAAUGCUCCUUGUUUAUUCUAUAAAUCUAUAUACUGUGUGUGUGUGGGUUGAUGGGUUGUUUUUAAUUAUCUUUGAAUGUGCACAUAUAAAACACUGUGAAGUUUGAGCUAACAAUCUCGAGCCCAAUAUCCAAAGUGUUGCAUAAAACCUUAUUGAUCUCAUUCAGUAUCUUUUCAUGAUUUGUUUGAGAAACUGAAAUACAAUGUUUGUAUCCAUGUUUUUCUUUAUGACGUUAAUAAAUUUAUUAGGCUGUUGGAUGAUCUU
rnacentral:lncRNA from 1 species